GGGGCUGUGGCUCAAUGGAAGAGCAUCUGCUUUGCAUGCCCAAGGUUUCAGGUUCAAUCUUUGGCAUCUUCA
rnacentral:tRNA from 1 species